rnacentral:rRNA from 1 species
GACGAACGCUGGCGGCGUGCUUAACACAUGCAAGUCGAACGGAAAGGCCCUGCUUUUGUGGGGUGCUCGAGGGGCGAACGGGUGAGUAAAACGUGAGUAACCUGCCCUUGACUUUGGGAUAACUUCAGGAAACUGGGGCUAAUACCGGAUAGGAGCUCCUGCUGCAUGGUGGGGGUUGGAAAGUUUCGGCGGUUGGGGAUGGACUCGCGGCUUAUCAGCUUGUUGGUGGGGUAGUGGCUUACCAAGGCUUUGACGGGUAGCCGGCCUGAGAGGGUGACCGGCCACAUUGGGACUGAGAUACGGCCCAGACUCCUACGGGAGGCAGCAGUGGGGAAUAUUGCACAAUGGGCGGAAGCCUGAUGCAGCAACGCCGCGUGCGGGAUGACGGCCUUCGGGUUGUAAACCGCUUUCGCCUGUGACGAAGCGUGAGUGACGGUAAUGGGUAAAGAAGCACCGGCUAACUACGUG